GCUUCUGGUCUAAAUACCCUAAAGGCAUCAGAUACUCUCUUAUCUUGGCAGGUAAGCAGCCUGUCCUGGUUAGUACUUGGAUUGGGAGACAGCUAAUGAAUAUCAGGUACUUCAAGCU
rnacentral:rRNA from 11 species